rnacentral:rRNA from 1 species
UACGUAGGGACCGAGCGUUGUCCGGAAUCAUUGGGCGUAAGAGCGUGUAGGCGGCUAUUUAAGUCCUGCUGUGAAAUCCUGCGGCUACAACCCGCAGACGGUCGUGGGAAACUGGAUGGCUAGAGUGCGGGAGAGGAGAGGUGGAAUUCCCGGUGUAGCGGUGAAAUGCGCAGAGUAUCGGGAAGAACACCCGUGGCGAAGGCGGCUCUCUGGAACGCAACUGACGCUGAGACGCGAAAGCGUGGGGAGCAACAGGG